AUACCGAAGAAUGUUAUCACGGGAGACACACGGCGGGUGCUAACGUUCGUCGUGAAGAGGGAAACAACCCAGACCGCCAGCUAAGGUCCCAAAGUCAUAGUUAAGUGGGAAACGAAGUGGGAAGGCUCAGACAGCCAGGAUGUUGGCUUAGAAGCAGCCAUCAUUUAAAGAAAGCGUAAUAGCUCACUGGUCGAGUCGGCCUGCGCGGAAGAUGUAACGGGGCUAAACUAUGCACCGAAGCUGCGGCAGCGAUAUGUAAAUAUUGUUGGGUAGGGGAGCGUUCUGUAAGCCUGUGAAGGUGUACUGUGAGGUAUGCUGGAGGUAUCAGAAGUGCGAAUGCUGACAUAAGUAACGAUAAUGCGGGUGAAAAACCCGCACGCCGGAAGACCAAGGGUUCCUGUCCAACGUUAAUCGGGGCAGGGUGAGUCGACCCCUAAGGCGAGGCAGAAAUGCGUAGUCGAUGGGAAACGGGUUAAUAUUCCCGUACUGGUGAUAAUUGCGAUGGGGGGACGGAGAAGGCUAGGCUGGCCGGGCGACGGUUGUCCCGGUUUAAGGAUGUAGGCAGGUGAAUUAGGCAAAUCCGGUUCACUACAUGCUGAGGUCUGAUGACGAGUCACUACGGUGGCGAAGUAGCUCAUGCCCCGCUUCCAGGAAAAGCCUCUAAGCUCUAGAUUAUCACUAAUCGUACCCCAAACCGACACAGGUGGUCAGGUAGAGAAUACUCAGGCGCUUGAGAGAACUCGGGUGAAGGAACUAGGCAAAAUGGUGCCGUAACUUCGGGAGAAGGCACGCUG
rnacentral:rRNA from 1 species